rnacentral:rRNA from 1 species
UGUUGGUGCUUUAGCGGGAGGGGUACACCCGUUCUCAUUCCGAACACGGCAGUUAAGGCUCCCAUCGCCGAAGGUACUCCGCAAGGGGCAGAAUAGGUAGGCGCCAACAU